rnacentral:lncRNA from 1 species
UGAGAUUUUAAGUAUAUUCAUCUAAAUUCUAACAUUCAAAUGAAAUUUCAAUACUGAAAAUAUAAAACCAUGAGAGUGAGGUUAAGAAAAUAUUAUGAGAAGGCUAAACGAACUCAGUAGCCAAUUAUUUACCAUCCACAACUUCGGACUGAAUCUGGAUCUGAAAGAUGAUGAAACAGAGCAAUUUCACGAAACUCGUCUCUCCUUAGUGUAGUUCCAACCCGUCUCUACCAGUUGCCACAGAUUCUACUCACUUACACGCGCAGAUGAUGAAGAGAAGUGCUCUAAACUUUCCCGAUUGUAUAAAAUCUAUGACAAUUGGGAGAGAUUGGUUGAAAUACAAAGGAUCCGCUUACGCCUUCUGCUUAUGUUUUUG